UACGGGGGGGGGCAAGCGUUGUUCGGAAUUACUGGGCGUAAAGGGCUCGUAGGCGGCCAACUAAGUCGGAUGUGAAAUCCCCAAGCUUAACUUGGGAACUGCAUCCGAUACUGGAUGGCUUGAAUCCGGGAGAGGGAUGCAGAAUUCCAGGUGUAGCGGUGAAAUGCGUAGAUAUCUGGAGGAAUACCAGUGGCGAAGGCGGCAUCCUGGACCGGCAUUGACGCUGAGGAGCGAAAGCUAGGGGAGCAAACAGG
rnacentral:rRNA from 1 species